rnacentral:rRNA from 1 species
AUUGAACGCUGGCGGCAUGCCUUACACAUGCAAGUCGAACGGUAACAGGUCUUCGGAUGCUGACGAGUGGCGAACGGGUGAGUAAUACAUCGGAACGUGCCCAGACGUGGGGGAUAACGAGGCGAAAGCUUUGCUAAUACCGCAUACGAUCUAAGGAUGAAAGCAGGGGACCGCAAGGCCUUGCGCGUUUGGAGCGGCCGAUGGCAGAGUAGGUAGUUGGUGGGAUAAAAGCUUACCAAGCCGACGAUCUGUAGCUGGUCUGAGAGGACGACCAGCCACACUGGGACUGAGACGCGGCCCAGAGUCCGACGGGAGGCAGCAGUGGGGAAUUUUGGACAAUGGGCGAAAGCCUGAUCCAGCAAUGCCGCGUGCAGGAUGAAGGCCUUCGGGUUGUAAACUGCUUUUGUACGGAACGAAAAGGCUCUGGCUAAUACCUGGGGCACAUGACGGUACCGUAAGAAUAAGCACCGGCUAACUACGU